GAGAGUGAUGCGCCCUGGGAAAGGUGUGCACGUUUUAGGACCAGUUUGUUCUAGAUACCGCACACUGCCCUCCGGAAAUGUCCUGGUGGCGCUCUGUGAGUUUCCUGGGCUGCCGUGACAAACCUCCGCAACCGGGGGGGGGCUUCAACAACAGAAACUUCUUCUCACGCAGUUCUGGAGGCUAGAUCCAAAAUCGGGUGAUGGCAGGGCCACGCUCCCCCUGAAGAUCCUGGGGGAGAAUCCUUCCUCGUCUCUCACAGCUUCUGCCAGCAGCCCGCAUUCCUUGGCUUGUAGCCCCAUCGCUGCGGUCUCUGCCCCUGUGCUCACAUUGUCUCCUCCUGUCGUCUUCUCCCCUGUGUGUCUCUUACUGUCGUAUGAUCCAGGAUGACCGCCUCAUCUCAAGAUCCUUAAUUUAAUCACGCUGGCAAAGACCCUUUUGCCAAAGGAGGUACCGUUCCUGGGUUCUGGGGGUUGGGACGUGAUCAUGUCCUUACUCCUGCUGAGGAAGGAGGGUUGUGUUGAAUUCCUUUUUCCCUCACCGCACAGCACAGUCUCAUCUUUUUGAAAUGUCUGGCCAAUUUGGUGGGGUAAAAACGAUCUCUUGUUUUAAAGUGCAUGUCUUUAGCUGUUAAUGAAGAGGGACGAUUUUCGUGGGCUCGUGGGUCGUUUGUAUUUCUCAUUUUCUUACUGAUUCGUGUCCUUUGUCCAAUUUGCUAUUAGGUGUCAUUGUCUUCCUCUGGGUGUGCAAGAGCUCUUUGUAGAUUAGGGAUGUUGAAUCUUUAUUAUAGCUUGUAAAUAUCUUCCUAAUGGGUCACUUGCUUUUUAGGUUUUUUCAUAGUUCUUCAAUGUAUAUAACUUUUCAACUUUUCUGUAGUCAAAGCUUUGAGAGGAUUUUUCCAUCAGUCGAAUAAUUAAACAGGCUUUUCCCACUCACGUUAUUUUCAUCUAGCGCUUUAACAGUUUCACUUUUAUAUUUAAGUUUUUGCUCUGUCUGCAGUUUAUUUUAGUUGUGGUGUAUGUUAAGGCUAAUUGCCUCCCCCACUAAUUAUUGAACAGCUGUCGAUGCCAUUUAGUAAUAGUCCACAUUUUCCCAAUUGAUUUUAAAUGAUACCUUCAUAAUAUAUUCAAUUUGACUUCUUGCUCCGAUAACGUAGCAGACUGAGGAAUGUGGCCUCCUCCUGCUGAGGAACGUCAACCAAACUUCGCAACAACAACAAAAGUAAUUAAUCUUGAAAGAAAGAAGGAAUGGGAGAUGCCCAGGUGCUGGAAGAUGGGAGGGAAAAACCAGAACCAGAAGCUAUUCCAUGACUGAGGACCCCAAAAAGGCAAGAUCCUCGGUGAAGAGAGCUCACAACUGAAAAUAGAGACCACAGGCUGGAACCAUCUACCACGAGGGAGAGUCAGCAGACAAAACAAGAAGGGUCAGUCCUCAAGAAACUGAGAUAACAGCACAGCCCAAAAGAGACUACAACAUGAAUGCUUUAAAUUAUUUUUAAAAAAUUAAAAAUGCGUAAGAAAAUUAAAAGACACCGUGGAAAAAGAAGAGGCAGACGUGAAGGAAAAACAAGGAUCUAAAAGUGAAAAAUGCAGUUGUUGAAGUUAACAUUUCAACGAAUGGGUCGAAUAGCAGAUUAGACACAGCUGGAGAAAUGUUCACACGCUGAAAGACGGAACUGAGGAAAUUACCCAGCAUGCAGUCAACAAAGAUAGAGAAACAGAAUGAAAAUAAAAACUAACAAAAUAGAGUAAGAAAGUCCAACCCACGCCUCAGAGAAGACCUGAAAGGACACACACUAGGGAGAGAAUGGAGGGGAGAGAUAUUCAACGUGAUAAUGUCUGAGAAGAUUCCAGAAGUGAUGAAAGACACAACUCCUUAGAUUUAAGAAGUGGGUCAGUCCCAAGAAGGAUGCAUAACAGUGAGUCUGCACCUAGAUAAAUGUACCAAAGACAAAGAAAGAGACUUAGAGCAACCAGAAGGGGAGACCAGAUUACCUCAUGCCCGUCGCAAAAGCACAGUGUCCCAACACUUUAUACGUUAGCUCUUUAAGUCUUCAGAAUAACUCUCUUAGUAUUCUUAUUAUCCACAUUUUAAGGAUGGAAAAAUCAAGGCACAGAAAGUUUAAGUAUCUUCAUUACUUCAUGCUACUUAAGUAAUUUUGGUUGCAACCAUGGCCCCUGGGGAAUCAUGCUUCCUCAUGACCACACCCUUGUGUGGUGCGACUUCACUGCUCCUCCCCAAGAGGACACUCUUGCCGUGAAGGAGAGGCCACUCUCCUCCCGCCUUGAGUCUAGACUGGCCUCGAGACUUGCUUUGACCAAUGGAAUGCAGCAGAGAUGAUGCUGUGUGGCUUCCAAAGCCAGGCCUUAAGGAGCCUUGUAGUUUCUACUUUUGCAUCUUAGAUCACUUCCAUCAUCGCAUCAAGAAGCCCAACACAGACUUCUGGUGGAAGAGAAGCAAGAUGACCCACCUGACAGCCAGCAUCAACUGCCAGGCUUUGAGUGAGGCCAUCCUGAACCCUCCACCCAGUCGAGCCCCAGAUGAGAGCAGCCACACGAGUGACUCAAGGCCAGACAAGCGGAAGAGCCACCCAGCUGAGCCCAGCGCACACAGCAGAACGGUGAGCCGCAGCUCACCGGGCACAGAAUUACACAGUGAUGGCUGACAGGGCCGGGACUGGGACCCAGGCAGGCCAGGACUCCAGAACAGGCACCUUCACCAUGAUGCCACAGCAAAAGCCAUCAGCAACAAUGGAGACCAGAAGACAAUGCAACCUUAAAUCUUCAAGAUGAUGGAAGAAAAUGUUUGUCAACGUAAGCUGCCUUUCAGCUAAACCGUCUUUCAAGAGUAAGAGCAAAAUAAAGACAUUUCAGACAAACACAGAAACUUCACCACUCACAGAGCUUCGCUGAAAGAACUCAUAAAAGAUUACCUUAGGAAGAAGGUGGUCAAGCCCGGUAUCAAGUAUGUGAUGAGCAAUGAGCAAAGAUUUUUAAAAGGUAAAACCUAAAUAAGUGUUGGCUGGAAAAAUCGGUGAUAAUAAUGACAAACAUAGCCUCAAAACAAGAUGGAACUAAAAUAUGAGGCAAUCACACAUGGUGAUGACUUUCCAAGGGGUUAAGUCACCUAUGACCUCGUCCUGUCCAGGAGGACGGUGGAGGACACAGAUUUAGAUUGUAAGUCAAUUAUGCAUGAUAAGAAUUUAAAGAUAACCUCCAACAGGAAGAAAUGGAAUGUAUAACUUUCAAACCAAUAUAGGGAAAAGGGAAAUAAAGAAAACACUAUCAGCCCAAUAAAAAGCAAAAAAGAGGAGGGAAAGAAGAAAACGAUUGACUUUUUGUGUUUUUAUUCUAUAACUGACCAUUUUUGUAGAAUUCUCCUAUUACUUAAUAGUUUUUCACUUCCUUCCCUUGGGUUUUCAAGUAGACAAUUAUAUUAUCCACAAAUAAGGAUAAUUUUGUCCCCUUUUUAGCGGUUGUCCUUUAUGUUUCUUGUCUUCUUGCGUUGUCUAGGACUUUCAGAGCCAUGUCACACUAUAGGGGCAUUAUUAAGCAUCCUCACCUUAUUCUGGAUCUUGGUAAGAAUGCUUCCAGUAUUUUACCAUUCAAUCUGAUGUUGGCUGUUGGCUUGAGAUGGAUAUUCUUUGUCACGGAAUUAGUCAGGAUAAGCUAGAGUAUGCUGCCGUAACAAAUAAUGUCAAAAUCUCACGGCUUGAGCGAGGUUUAUUUCUUGUUCAUAUUAAGUCCAGGCAGUUCUCUCUCAGUUACGGCUGUGAUUGGCUCAGCAUUGCACCUCCACAUCCGGGAAUGCUCCCCUGCUCGCUGAGGCGAGGGAAAGAGAAUCGGAGAGUCUCGUACCAGGAAUUAAGUGCUUCUAUGUAGACAUGGCACACAUUACUUCAGCUCGUGUUGAUGUCACAUGGUCCUGCCUAACCCCAGUGGAAAGUGCGUCCCCAGCCUGGAAGGAGGACUGGAAAGAUCGGCAGACAUUGCAGAUGUCACGCUAACCGUGUUAAGGAAGCAUCCUUUCAUUGCCGAUUUUACACUUGGGACCCCGGAAGACCCUAAAAGUCAACUUGAAAAGUCACUGGGGCCUUGGCUGUCUGACGACUAGCGGAGGAGGCUGGUGUGACGAGAAAGGCGAGGUGACGCAUUCGCAGGCCCUGACGACGCUCACCUCCACCGGAGCCUUUAAUCGUGUGGAGGCCCUGAAUCCUUGGCUGCUGUACCAAAUGGUCACAACCAGGUGGCUCAGGAUGACAGGAGCGUACACUCUUGCAGUUCCGGAGACCAGAAGUCUGGAAUAAAAGUGGUGGCAGGGAAAUCGCUGUCAGCCGCCUGCUCUUCAGCGUUGCAGAAUGCCGAUUCCUUUUCCACGGUCUACAGUGUUUUCUCACAGUCCUGUGCUGUCGAUGCUUUUUCCUCUGGGCCGUCUCUCAAAUGCAGGACAGUAAGCCACACUCCACGCUCACAAGUAGACAGGGCGUGUAGCUUGCCUUCGGUCCUGCUCUCUUGCCCCUAGUUGGAUGGCUAAAUCCCGUUCUCAGUGUUUGGUCUCAGCAACGGAAUCCAGGGGGCUUUGCUCAAUCCAUUUCCUAGUUUCCAGCAGGCUUCUGCCAACGGCAGCUCUGCCAAGCGAGGGUGGCAUCCGCUCCCGCCCGCUGUCUGGUUCUUGGAUAUUCUGAACAGAAUAUCCCAGCAUACACUGCUACCCGGGAGCUUCCUGCUGCUCCCCGCCCACCCCUGCACUCAUCCUGUUUCCCCCCCAGGAUACCAUGCACCGUGAAAGCCCAUGCCCACAUUCUCUGAAAGACCAGGGGACGCCACUCCAGGAGCAUCUCUGGGAGAGGGACAACCGUCCAGUUCUCAGAAUGGCACAGAUUCCAGGUCACUGAGGGGGACAGACGAUGGAGCAUGUUCUGAGCACCUUCCUACCUUUGUCCCUGUCCCUGUGUCCUGAGGCUUCUCUCCAACGCCGUCCCCCACCAUUGUCAUCAGUACGGCUCCUCCCAGACUCUGGCAUGAGGUUGGCAGCUGUUUCCCCGCACUGAGUGAGGUUUCGUCUUUCUCUCUGCCUUCAUGGGUAUUUAGUAGAAAAAUGAGAACGGCUGAAUCAGGGCGUUGCUCAUUAGAUGCCGUUUUAUAUCGAAGUCCACAGGUUUUUAGUGGUUUUUUUUUUUUAAGCCCAGACUUACUCGUUCAUUUACAUUUAAUUAUUCCAAAGAAAGGAGAGCCUUCACUGCUUGGCUGCAUGGGGAUGUCAGGAUAAAUCAGCCAAUAAUCCAGCAGAGCUUUGCAAGGAUGCAGGAGUGGAGGCAAGCCAGGCCCAGCCCCUUCCUCCCUCUGCUCUGCAAAGCUGCCUGCCCCGGGGCUCUUUCCAUCUCGAAGACCUCAUUCCUGUGCCCCCAAUUAGCAGUCUGGGAAAUCAGACACAUUUACUGAGCGCCCACUUUGCUCCAGGCACCAGGCAGUUCUCGGGGAGAGGAAGAGAGAAUCGUCAAGAUUCCUGCCCUUAUGGUGCGUGGUUUCCAUCUCUCUGCUUUAGAGCAUAAUGUCCGUUUGUCACCACGGUUUGUGACGGUUGUUUGAUUAACAACCUCGCUAGACUCCUGUCAGACUGGCAGCCCCGUGAGGGCAGGGACAGUGUCUGUAUGCUUGGUUGUUAGCGCAGCUGGGACUGGGGAGGGCUGCCUGGAGGAGAGGACUUCUGAGCCGGGCUUUGAGGGUUGGAUAGGAGUUCAGAGAGGAUAAAGCCGAUGGGAGCAGGAAAGAGGGGUGAAGUCUCUCUCCCUGGGGUCUGCUCAGCCCAAACCUGACACUGCCUCUUGGCCUUAUUCUCCGUGUGCUUUCUGCUGCUACCUGGAGAAAGUUCCUCUCUGGGUCUCUUUAGAGGCUGAGCACCGGGGGUCUGGGCAGUGUUCAGAGGAGGAUGAGGUCUGCAGUGCUUGUCAGAGUGCAUGGGCGCGUCCUAAAGGAAGGGACACCCAGGGUGUCCAGGCCUAAAAGCUAAGCCCAGAAGGAUGGGCAGAGGCUCUGAGUUUGUCUCCUCUGGGUCCCCUUUCUUUGGCUUGCUUCCUCUUCUUUAUCUCUUUUAAGCAGAUCUCAGUGGGGCCCGUCCCGCCGUGGCGGCCUUGGGGUCAUCAUCACUUUUCCAACAGGCACGUUCGUGGCUGGUCUGCUGGACGUGAACCAAGAGCCAUUUGCUCCGGAGGCGAGAGUCGAGACAGGCCCAGCUGGGCUUUCCCAUCCUUUAUGUGCCCAAUCCCAUUAAUAAUUAACGGUACAGUAAUGAGAAUGGCUUUUAAUAGAAUCUGCUGCCAUCACCGCAUUCUCUUCCCCGCCGAGGGUCUCCCCCAAAAGGAUUCACGCUUGUAUGGCUGCCGUUCCCGCCACGGGCACCGGGAAGCCGGAAGUUCUCCUGCCGAUGUCCCUCCCAGCCCCUCCUCUCUUCUGGGCCUGAGCUCCACUCCCUGUGACCUGAAAGCCCCCUCACUCCUCCAUUUCCCACCCCUGUCCCGAAGCCCCGCCCAUGUCCCCUUGAGGUGCCCCCUGUGGUGCUUGACUCCCCCAUCCAGCCCAGCCAAGCAUGGCGCUGUCAUGCCUUGUCUGUCACCAGGGCAAACUGGUCCCAUUGAGCAGGGACAGGGUGGGCGUGAGACCCACACGGUGCAUCCAGGAGCUGACGUUCUGCAUGGACAGGCCCACUUACAGCAAAGAGCAGGGAUGAAGAUGGCCCCUACUCCAUCAGAGUGUUCCAGUGAGAAGAGAAGCGAAUGUGCGGGAAGCAGAAUUAAGGGAGACGGUCCCUAACAUUUGCUCCAGGAAAACACCACAAUGUGCCCAGGGUUUUAGCUACUCAUGAUGCUAUUCACUGCAGCAUUAUUUAUGAUGUCGCAACUUGGAAACCAGCUCCUCGUUCAAUAUUGGAGGAUUGGCUUCGACAAGUGCUCAACGCAGAGCGCGUGUGGCUCACUCGGGACAAAGUCGGGAGGCUCAAAGCCGAGCGCUCGAAGUGCUUAUAGAGAGGGGAUGAAUUAUAGAUCGUCUCAAGUUUUCUCUUUGGUUUAUCUUAAUUUCAAAAUUAUCCACAAUUAACAUGUAUUACUUUUGUAAAUGGAGA